GAUGAACGCUAGCGGCAGGCCUAAUACAUGCAAGUCGAGGGGCAGCAUAGUAGCAAUACUGAUGGCGACCGGCGCACGGGUGCGUAACGCGUAUGCAACCUACCUUUUACUGGGGGAUAGCCCGGAGAAAUUCGGAUUAACACCGCAUAAUAAGUUGAUAUGGCAUCAUAUUAAUUUUAAAAUUUAUUGGUAAAGAUGGGCAUGCGUCCAAUUAGCUAGUUGGUGAGGUAAUGGCUCACCAAGGCGAUGAUUGGUAGGGUUCUGAGAGGAACGGUCCCCCACACUGGUACUGAGAUACGGACCA
rnacentral:rRNA from 1 species